CGCCUCAGGGAGCGCCGGGGCCGCAGCGGAGCUGAGGGGGAGCGGCGCCUCAGGGAGCGCCGGGGCCGCAGCGGAGCUGAGGGGGAGCGGCGCCUGCGGGGCUGGAGGAGCCCGAGGGGGCUGAGGGAUCCCAGGCAAUCUGAAGGAGCUGGGGGCUGAGAACUGGAAUUGCCGGGGCUGGAGGAACGGUGUCUGUUACUCACUGCUUUCAACAUUCCAGACUGUGGUGGAUUGAUUCAGUGCCCCAGCAUACAAGUAUUUAUCAUCUUUGGAGAAGCAGGCACUGCAAAGGCCUAUCAGGAGAGAUGUGGGCUGAAAAUGGAUGGUUGGCAUUAGAUUGUUAUGCUGAUUUUCACCUGUCACAAACUGUUCCAGACAAAAGCUUCAGAGGGAGAAGGUUCCUGGUGACCAGACAUGUUCUGCCUCUUCACAAAGAGAAUUUCACCCCAAAUUUGUUACCCCUUAAGCUCAAGAGUCAAGUAAAACCUGGCCAAUGGGAAAUUCCACAUGCUGACCCCUUUGAAAGGACUCCUGGCAUUUGAGGGAGAAGUUACUGCCAACACUUCCCUAAGGAAUGGGAGCUACUGGAGCUGCAGUGGGAACAGACUCAUCUUUGCCACCAGCACAGAGCAAAUCCUUCUUGAGCAGACUGCCCCCAUCAGAAAAGAUCUGCACAAAAUGUUCAUAGACAUGAAGCCAGAAAAGCUGAGUGAAGUUGAGAGGGAUUAACAGUGAAAUUUGGUCUGGCCACUUGCAAAGCUGUAAAGUGCAGCAGGAUGGAGUUUGCUUUUCCAUUUGGGAGCUGUGGAAGUCUGAGGAGGAUGCUCUGUUUGGAAUGGAGAAGGAAGGUCUGUUGAUUACAGAUCUGUUGUCUGGCUCAUCAAACCUUUGGAUAUUAUAAGAAAUACAAGAAAUACAGUUAAAAAGUUGAACAAAUAAAUGUGUACAAUGGAUAGAGAUCCCCCA
rnacentral:lncRNA from 1 species